rnacentral:rRNA from 1 species
GACAGAGGGGGCAAGCGUUGCCCGGAAUUACUGGGCGUAAAGGGCUCGUAGGCGGCCAACUAAGUCGGAUGUGAAAUCCCCAGGCUCAACUUGGGAACUGCAUCCGAUACUGGAUGGCUUGAAUUCGGGAGAGGGAUGCAGAAUUCCAGGUGUAGCGGUGAAAUGCGUAGAUAUCUGGAGGAAUGCCGGUGGCGAAGGCGGCAUCCUGGACCGACAUUGACGCUGAGGAGCGAAAGCGUGGGGAGCAAACAGG